AUCAUUCACAAAGUUAUACUUAAAAAUGUUUUUAUAAGUGUAGAUAAAUUUAUUAAGGGACAGUCAACUAGGACUAUGCUCAUUCUUCCCAUAACUACAUGAAAUUUUGCUAUCCUGAACUUGUGCUAUUUUUAGAUUAUAUGUGUGUAUUACGAGUAGUAUGUUUAGUUCAAAUGAAUUGUAUUUCCGGGCUGUAGUUGAGUUUGCCUUGUUACCCCGAUCAAGAAAAUACAGACAUACAUAUGACCAAGAUGCCUACUUAGGUAAAGAAGCGGUAUUAUAUUCUACUUCUGGUCAAACAUGUAGAGUGAAACUUUCCAAAUCUGACUGUACCUAUUCAGUAGAUGAACUUGUUAAUUAUCUCACACAUAUGCCAUACUGUUCUUGAUGAUAGACAAAAUAAUGCAUACAUAGACACUGCUCUGUUUACUUGUUUGUGUUUUCUUGUUUGAUUCCGCUAUAAUUCUUGUGACUUACUCCUAACUAAAAAGUAGAACCAAAAAAUGAUGAAACCUACACCAAAAUAUUGUAUUUCAAUUGAGAAAAGAAACAUCUAUAGUCGACGAUCAUCACCAAAUUUGUUUAGUUUGCACUUAAGAAAGUAAUCAAUCAUCAGUCACGCUAAUUUUGGUGGAGGUAGAAAUGGGAGGGUUAUCAAAAAGGUUAAAAAAUGAAAUGAUAAUUUUUUUCUCAGAUUAUAUUUUUUCUAGCUUGAUACACUUAAAACUGAUUAUAAGACACAUCAAUAAUACUCAAAGUAUAUUAUUCUCAUACAACUAGAUAACAGGACUGCAAGUCGCCAUUUACAAGUCUGCGUAUGGUUAGCUGGUGCUGAUUUAACAUUUAUCUAUUAGUCUGAUGUUAUGAUGGGGAAGCAAAAGUUCUUAGGAUGGUGCUGUGCUGGGCAAAUUGUAUGCAGUGUGCAUUUCUACCAUUAGAAGAUUGUUACAAAACUUCAGAGUUCAGUGCAAUACUGACAUUGACUGGAAUUGUUGUGAACCAUACUACAGCUGAUGAGAAUUCAUAGCAACAGUUCAACGAUUCAAUGUUAUCAUGUGAAUAAUAAUAUUGAAUGUAUGGGGUUCCCUUAGUGUAACAUGACCUAAAUUUGUUUUUUGAAAUGUCAUGGAAAUUAGGAUUUUUGGUGCCAUUUCUCAGCCAUUCACGAUAAAGCCAAACUUUAAAUACAAAAAUUGUUUAGUUUUCAAAAGAGCUAAUACGUGUAGUAAAAAUCAUACCUUACUUAAUAAGUUUUAAAUAUAAAUUUUAAUUAUAAAAAAAAUGUGCUGAAAAGUGACAGCUGCAACAUAUUUUUCUAGAAAGAGUACUUCUUUGGUAGUCUUGGAUAAAAUUUUUAAAUAACGAUAUAUUGAAAUAAAAUGCAGAAUAAAUUACUUGAGUAAAUGAACGUUUGCCAGGUAUCUAAUUAAAAUAACAGAGUUCACAAUACAACAAUAUAAAUUUUCAAUGGUUGCUUUUAUUACAGCAUUAUUGAAAAAGAAGAAUAGUAACAUUAUAUUACAAUUUGAACUUUCCAAUCAGGUAAAACAUUGAUAUAAUGCACAAUACUAAAAGCAAGAGGGAAUAUAAUAAUAUGUUAAAGAACCCACAAGCCAAAGAUCAAAGGAAAUGAAAAUUUAACUAAUUGGGAAUUGUCAAGAGUUAUUUUUGUUUCAUUUUCUUUUCUUAAUGUAACUUGGGAUUCUCUGUGCACUACGAAAAUGUAUUAUCAUAAAUUAAAAUUUUAUCUUUGAACCACAUACAAAUAGUUUAUGGGAAACAAUUUAAUAUGCAUGUGCUGAGGGAAGAGAUAAAUUGUAUUAACACCAUUAAAACUGGUUUAGCCAUGUU